GUGCUCUUCUGAAGGUGACGGCGGUGGCUCUCGCGCUGCUUUGAGCUCCGUUGCUGAGGCAGCUGAAGGGGUCCUGAGGGCGGCUGCUGGUACUGCGGAGGCCGGCGCGAGAGCGAAGAUGUUGGGCGGGCGGCAGGUGCCGAAGACGCUUCGGAUGUUAACUUAUGCAAGCAGAGGCUACUCAUCACAACGUGGCUUAAAUGAAGUAGUAAUUGUAAGUGCUGUCCGGACACCCAUUGGCUCUUUCCAAGGAUCCCUUUCAUCACAGCCAGCCACUAAACUUGGUUCCAUUGCAAUUAAAGGCGCAAUUGAAAGAGCAGGUAUCCCUGCACAAGAAGUGAAAGAAGUCUACAUGGGCAAUGUUAUUCAGGCUGGACAAGGACAAGCUCCUGCAAGACAAGCAACCCUUGGUGCAGGUUUACCAGUUUCUACUCCUUGCACGACUGUCAACAAAGUUUGUGCUUCUGGAAUGAAAUCUAUUAUGAUGGCAGCCCAGAGUCUGGCAUGUGGGAGCCAGGAUGUGAUGGUAGCUGGUGGAAUGGAGAGCAUGUCUAAUGUACCCUACACAAUGGUCAGAGGAGCAACACCUUAUGGAGGAGUAAAGCUUGAAGACUUGAUUGUAAAAGAUGGCUUGACAGAUGUUUACAACAAAAUUCACAUGGGUAAUUGCGCAGAGAAUACUGCAAAGAAGUUUACUAUAUCACGGGAAGAUCAAGAUGCCUAUGCCAUAAAAUCUUACACCAGAAGCAAGGAAGGUUGGGAGUCGGGAGUUUUUGCAAAGGAAAUUGUCCCAGUUACUAUUUCUCAGAAAGGGAAACCAGACACAGAGAUUAAAGAAGACGAGGAGUACAAGCGUGUUGAUUUCAGUAAAGUUCCAAAACUGAGGGCUGUUUUUCAGAAAGAAAACGGAACUGUAACUGCUGCCAAUGCCAGUACACUGAAUGAUGGAGCAGCUGCAUUAGUACUGAUGACUUCAGAAGCAGCCCAAAGGCUGAAUGCUAAACCAUUGGCUAAAAUAGUAGGUUUUGCAGAUGCUGCUGUUGAUCCUAUUGACUUUCCAAUUGCACCAGCACAUGCAGUUCCUAAGAUACUUAAUCAGACAGGUCUAAAAAAGGAAGAUAUUAAAAUGUGGGAAAUUAAUGAAGCAUUCAGUGUUGUUGUCCUAGCCAACAUUAAAAUGCUGGAUGUUGAUCCGCAAAAGGUGAACAUUCAUGGAGGAGCAGUCUCUUUGGGACAUCCAAUUGGGAUGUCUGGAGCAAGAAUUGUUGUUCACAUGGCCCAUGCAUUGAAGCAAGGAGAGUAUGGCCUUGCUGGAAUCUGUAAUGGAGGUGGCGGCGCAUCUGCAAUACUAAUCCAGAAACUGUAGACUCUAAUGUCAAGCCUUAAGGCUCAACUGUCAAAUGGCUGUUACUGUACAACUAUUUAUGGAAUUGCAGCGCAGACUCCCCUAAAAAGCUCAAUCUAUCAUUGUUUUUUAAAAAACACAACUUUUUUUUUUACUAUACCUCCAGUCUUGAGCCAGCUAUCUCCUGGGCUAUAACCCCAAGCACAAUGACCGGAAAGCAAUUUCAACAAUUCAACAGAACCUGCUUCUAAGCCUAAUUUGGCUCAACAGUGUAUGACACUAUGAAAAUGUCUGAGCAGUUAAUGUGCACAUUUUGGCAAAACACAUCCAACCCCCAGUGUUAAUAAAAGUAGUACCUUGUUGUUUUUACAACUCCAACAGCUGUACAAUAUUUACAUUAUCCCCACAUGUAUAACUGUGCAAACCUAACUGGUUGUACAUUAAGUGCUUUCUCAGAAGUAGAUCUGCCAAGUUAUUUAUAAGCUAGCAACUUUCUUCAGAACCAG